rnacentral:sRNA from 1 species
ACCAGCUACUGCUGCCAAUCUUGCUAAGCUAUCCCUCGCUGCUAAGCUAUCCCUCGCUGCUAAGCUAUUCCUCACUACUAAGCUAUCUAUCACUGCCAAUCUAUUGCUGCUAAUCUAUCACUGCUAAUCUAUCGCUGCUAAUCUAUCGCUGCUAAUCUAUCACUGCUAAUCUAUUGCUGCUAAUCUAUUGCUGCUAAUCUAUUGCUGCUGCCAAUCUAUCUAUCACUGCUAAUCUAUCACUGCUAAUCUAUCGCUGCUAAUUUAUUGCUGCUGCCAAUCUAUCUAUCGCUGCUAAUCUAUCGCUGCCAACCUAUCUACCGCGGCGAAUCUAUCCAUCGCUGCCAAUUUAUCUACCACUGCCAAUCUAUCUAUCACUGCUAAUCUAUCGCUGCCAACCUAUCUACCACUGCCAAUCUAUCUAUCACUGCUAAUCUAUCGCUGCCAAUCUAUCUACCGCGGCGAAUCUAUCUAUUGCUGUCAACCAAUCUAUCUAUCACUGUCAAUCUAUCUAUCGCUGCCAAUCUAUCGCUGCCAAUCUAUCACUGCCAAUCUAUCUACUGCACUAUCCUUACUAGUUCAAAAUAGAACUAGAGCAUAAAUACACUAAACUUCUUUUGAUAGAUAAUGAUUUUUGAUAACACUCAUAACAUUAUAUCAUCUAUAUAGAGUAAAUCAUGGUCUCAUUUGUGUAACGGGUGUACUUCGAUUAACGAUUUGAUACUAUCCUAAUUACAGAUUAUGAAUUGAUUAAGAAAAGAAGAAGAAAAGAAAUCAGAAGAAAAGAUUGUAUGAAGAGGAUUUUUAUAAAAAAAAGUUUG